GACGAACGCUGGCGGCGUGCUUAACACAUGCGAGUCGAACGGAAAGGCCCUGCUUUUGUGGGGUGCUCAAGUGGCGAACGGGUGAGUAACACGUGAGUAACCUGCCCUUGACUUUGGGAUAACUUCAGGAAACUGGGGCUAAUACCGGAUAGGAGCUCCUGCUGCAUGGUGGGGGUUGGAAAGUUUCGGCGGUUGGGGAUGGACUCGCGGCUUAUCAGCUUGUUGGUGGGGUAGUGGCUUACCAAGGCUUUGACGGGUAGCCGGCCUAAGAGGGUGACCGGCCACAUUGGGACUGAGAUACGGCCCAGACUCCUACGGGAGGCAGCAGUGGGGAAUAUUGCACAAUGGGCGGAAGCCUGAUGCAGCAACGCCGCGUGCGGGAUGACGGCCUUCGGGUUGUAAACCGCUUUCGCCUGUGACGAAGCGUGAGUGACGGUAAUGGGUAAAGAAGCACCGGCUAACUACGUG
rnacentral:rRNA from 1 species